rnacentral:rRNA from 1 species
UACAGAGGGUGCGAGCGUUGUUCGGAAUCACUGGGCGUAAAGCGCACGUAGGCGGCUUUUUAAGUCAGGGGUGAAAUCCUGGAGCUCAACUCCAGAACUGCCUUUGAUACUGAGAAGCUUGAGUCCGGGAGAGGUGAGUGGAACUGCGAGUGUAGAGGUGAAAUUCGUAGAUAUUCGCAAGAACACCAGUGGCGAAGGCGGCUCACUGGCCCGGUACUGACGCUGAGGUGCGAAAGCGUGGGGAGCAAACAGG